UGGGGAAUUUUGGACAAUGGGGGAAACCCUGAUCCAGCCAUCCCGCGUGUGCGAUGAAGGCCUUCGGGUUGUAAAGCACUUUUGGCAGGAAAGAAACGUCAUGGGUUAAUACCCCGUGAAACUGACGGUACCUGCAGAAUAAGCACCGUCUAACUACGUGCCAGCAGCCGCGGUAAUACGUAGGGUGCAAGCGUUAAUCGGAAUUACUGGGCGUAAAGCGUGCGCAGGCGGUUCGGAAAGAAAGAUGUGAAAUCCCAGAGCUAAACUUUGGAACUGCAUUUUUAACUACCGGGCUAGAGUGUGUCAGAGGGAGGUGGAAUUCCGCGUGUAGCAGUGAAAUGCGUAGAUAUGCGGAGGAACACCGAUGGCGAAGGCAGACUCCUGGGAUAACACUGACGCUCAUGCACGAAAGCGUGGGGAGCAAACAGG
rnacentral:rRNA from 1 species